rnacentral:rRNA from 1 species
UGGAAGUAAAAAGCGUAACAAGGUUUCCGUAGGUGAACCUGCGGAAGGAUCAUUAACAUUAAUUUACUACACACUGUUUUUUUACAACAAAACAAAUCUAUCUAAAAACAAUUCUUUACAAGAAAUUCUUAAAACUUUCAACAACGGAUCUCUUGGUUCUCGCAUCGAUGAAGAACGCAGCGAAAUGCGAUACGUAAUACGAAUCGCAGCUCUCGGAAUCAUCGAAUCUUUGAACGCACAUUGCACCAUUGGGUAUUCCCAAUGGUAUGCUUGUUUGAGCGAAUACUUCCCUAAUCCUCACGGAUUGUAUUGUGUUUGCACGAAAAUAAUGACGACAGUACUCUACAAAACGGUACCGUCAGUACACUCAUUUUUUUUCCUCAAAUCAAGUAGGACUACCCGCUGAACUUAAGCAUAUCAAAAGGGCGGAGG